rnacentral:misc_RNA from 1 species
GAUGAAGAACGUAGCGAAAUGCGAUAAGUAAUGCGAAUUGCAGAAUUCAGUGAAUCAUCGAAUCUUUGAACGCACAUUGCGCCCGCCAGUAUUCUGGCGGGCAUGCCUGUUCGAGCGUCAUUUCAACCCUCAAGCCCCCGGGCUUGGUGUUGGGGAUCGGCGUGCCCUCGCGGCGCGCCGUCCCCUAAAUCUAGUGGCGGUCUCGCUGUAGCUUCCUCUGCGUAGUAGCAACACUCGCACUGGAUCGCAGCGCGGCCACGCCGUUAAACCCCCCACUUCUGAAAGUUUGACCUCGGAUCAGGUAGGAAUACCCGCUGAACUUAAGCAUAUCAAUAAGCGGAGGA